UUACAAGGAAAAAAACAUUGACUGACUCAC
rnacentral:piRNA from 1 species